ACUCGCUUGGUGAAAUUUGGUAAACACGAUGGAUUUAAAAUCCAUUCUUCCUAUUUAAGUUAUUGGUUCGAGUCCAAUAGCGAGUA
rnacentral:tRNA from 1 species